GCGCGAAAACUUUACAAUGCGGGCAACCGUGAUAAGGAAACCCCGAGUGCCAGCACAGGCUGGCUGUCCGCCAGUGUAAAAAACUGGUGAAGAAAGGGCCGGGCAAGACCGGUGCCAGCCGCCGCGGUAAUACCGGCGGCUCGAGUGGUGGCCGCUUUUUACUGGGCUUAAAGGGUCCGUAGCUGGAUCCGCAAGUCCCUUGAGAAAUCCAUCGGCUUAACUGAUGGGCGUUCAGGGGAUACUGUGGUUCUAGGGACCGGGAGAGGUGAGAGGUACUGCCGGGGUAGGAGUGAAAUCCUGUAAUCCCGGUGGGACGACCUAUGGCGAAGGCAUCUCACCAGAACGGCUCCGACAGUGAGGGACGAAAGCUGGGGGAGCAAACCGGAUUAGAUACCCGGGUAGUCCCAGCUGUAAACGAUGCGCGUUAGAUGUAUCAGUGACCACGUGUCAUGAUGUGUCGAAGGGAACCGUGAAACGCGCCGCCUGGGGAGUACGGUCGCUAAAGGCUAGAAACUUAAGGAAUUGGCGGGGA
rnacentral:rRNA from 1 species